CGAGUGGCCGCAAAGUUGUGAAAGAAGACGAAGACGAUGAUGAAGAGGAAGAAGAGAAAAAUAUAGCAGACGCAGAUGUUGAAGAAGAAAAGAGGAAGGUGAAGAAGAAAUGGCGAAAACAUUAAAGAAAAAAAGGAAAAGUUACCAUUAAUAUGUUGAAGCAAAGUUGUGAAAGAUGACAAAGACGAUGAUGAAGGAAAAGAAAAGAAAAAGACAAAAUGAUUUAUAGCAGACGCAGAAGAAAAUAGGAAGAUGAAGACGAAGGAGAAAACAUUAAAGAAAAAAAGGAAAAGUUACCAUUAAUAUGUUGAGGUAAAGUUGUGAAAGAUGACAAAGACGAUGAUGAAGGAAGAGAAAAGAAAAAGACAAAAUAAUUCAUAGCAGACGCAGAAGAAAAUAGGAAAGUGAAGAAGAAGAAAGAAGAAAACAGAAGUGAAAGAAAAACAGGAAAAAAGUUACAAUUAAAAUGUUACAGUGAAGAAACAGUUUAUAUCGGAACUGGAGGCUCGGAGGAAGGAAGAGAGAGGCCUUGAGGGGACAAAAAUAUAUUUCAGAGACAGUUUGUUGAAAGAGGUUGAAAAGGAGGAAGAAAGACGAAGAGGAUGGGGAUAAAGAAACAUAAACGAGACGCGCGAUGUGAGUGAGUCAAUAACGGGAGGAGGAAGAGGAGGAGAGGAAGAGUUAAGAGAGAAAGGGAAAGGUCACGGACGCCGGCAGACGAGUGGAAUGCAGAAAGUGGAGGAAGAGAAGGAGGUUAAAGAGGAAGAGGCGAGUUCCGUGCUAUGAAAUGAGGAUCCAAUGUGUAAGGGGAAAAGGGUGCGAUCGUAUACACGACAGAAAAGUAAUACCACGGUUCGGUAGCGCUAAGUGCGUUUAAUAUUUUCAUUUAAAAAACGAAAACAUUUAUGUAAAAGUUUUUUGCAUGGAAAGAAAAAGUAGUUGCAAGCCAUUACGCUGCGGCUGUUAUCAUUAUGCCGCACAGAACAACGAGCCGGUGCUCUUGUUUAACGUGAAUUUGGAACAUCACGGGAACGAUUUGUGCGCCCGUAAAAAGAAGGCAAACAAAAAUGAGAGCGCGGGGGCCGUGGGUCUGCCGCAGAUACCGGGAGUGGUGAGCGAUGCAUGAGUAAAACGUGCUGGUGAAUCCAAGGCAGCCUGUUGUCCUGCUGACAGCGCCUGUUGGUGGAGCACAGGUUGGCAGGUGCACGCGAAGCGGUAAUGCUGACGGAUGAAAUAAGGAAGUGACCAAACCUCCAAGUCACCAUGACAACACAACACGAUUCAGAAGUGGAAGGAAAACUUGAACUGAUGUGAGGCCGGGAAGAAAAUUAGCCCAGAGACUCUCUAUGGACAUGAGUUACAUCGAAUAGCUCGAAGGAAACAUGUUUAUACUGAUAUUGUCAAUGAAGGAAACUAAGAUUGUAAGUAAAAAAAAUAUCAUGGAAACAAUUUGAUAUAGAAAAUAACAUAUAAGAAACAACUGAAUCUAAUCAUGAGUAACUGUAUAAAUAUAGUGACAAAAAGAAAGCAAAGAGUCUGUGGAAAUGUAGUGCGCCUAGGAGAACUUAAGACGAGGAUGAUGCUAAGGGCGCCGGGCGGGCGAGAUGACUCAUCCUGCAGGGCGCCGCUCACACCACAACAAGAACAACGACUGCUCCUCACCCUGCGUAGUAGUCUGGAGAGCCAUCACGCGGACCAAGCACCGGCACAAAGGCAGCGUCAGGGCUGGGAGGUCAGGAGGAGGGAGGGAGAGCAAGCAGAGGUGACCGCUCCACCUGGCGCCUUUCCUUUCGCCUGGCUCCCGAACCUCCUGCUCCUCCUGCUCCUCCUGCUGCUUCCUGUCACGUCAGUCUUGGCCAAACACAGAGGAGUGUGGCGGCGUGUGGAGGCCGUGGCUGGCCGCGAGGCCGUCUUGCCUUGUGAGGUGGGGAGUCUCGACGCCACAGACAUGGUGUUUGUGGUGCUGUGGUACAAAAAUGAAGACAAGGAGCCCAUGUACAGUUACGACAACCGUCCGGGGCGGCUAGCAGGCCCCGAGCAGCGCCACACCCUCAAGAAUCGCCUACUGGAGGGUCGGGCCACCUUCCGCCCCGGCCAGGUGCCCGCGCUGCACAUCCGACCCGUGCUGGCCGCGGACCAGGCCAACUACACCUGCCGCGUCGACUUCCGCAUAGGUGAGCUAUGUGCCAAUAGUAGUAGUGGUAGGAGUAGUGGUGGUGGUAGUAGUAGUAGUAGUAGUAGUAGUAGUAGUAAUAGUGGUAGUAGUAGUAGUAGUAGUAGUAGUGCUGUGAUUAGCUCCUUUGUUUUGUGUUAUAAGUUAGAUUCUACAGCCGAUACAGCCUUGGAUUGCAUACCUUCGUAUGC